AAUAGAUACCCAGGUAGUCCACGCCGUAAACGAUGGAUGCUAGCUGUUAUGCGUAUCGACCCGUGUAGUAGCGAAGCUAACGCGUUAAGCAUCCCGCCUGGGGAGUACGAACGCAAGUUUAAAACUCAAAGGAAUUGACGGGGACCCGCACAAGCGGUGGAGCGUGUUCUUUAAUUCGAGGCUAAGCGAAGAACCUUACCAGGGCUUGACAUCCUUGGAAUUUCUCCGAAAGGAGAGAGUACUUUAUUGGACCAAGUGACAGGUGCUGCAUGGCCGUCGUCAGCUCGUGUCGUGAGAUGUUUGGUUAAGUCCAUUAACGAGCGCAACCCUUAUGAAUAGUUGUAUUUUUCUAUUCAGACUGCCCCGGUAACGGGGAGGAAGGGGGGAUGAUGUCAGGUCAGUAUUGCCCUUACGCCCUGGGCUAGAAACGCGCUACAAUGGCCGGUACAAUGCGCUGCCAACCCGCGAGGGGAGCAAAUCGCAUCAAAGCCGGUCCCAGUUCGGAUAAGAGGCUGAAACUCGCCUCUUUGAAGCCGGAAUCGCUAGUAAUCGU
rnacentral:rRNA from 1 species